rnacentral:rRNA from 1 species
GGCUUCACGCAUGCUACAAUGGCUGGUACAGAGAGUGGCGAGCCUGUGAGGGUGAGCGAAUCUCGGAAAGCCGGUCUCAGUUCGGAUUGGGGUCUGCAACUCGACCUCAUGAAGUCGGAGUCGCUAGUAAUCGCAGAUCAGCAACGCUGCGGUGAAUACGUUCCCGGGGCUUGUACACACCGCCCGUCAAGUCAUGAAAGUUGGUAACACCCGAAGCCGGUGGCCUAACCGUUGUGGGGGAGCCGUCGAAGGUGGGACUGGUGAUUAGGACUAAGUCGUAACAAGGUAGCCGUACCGGAAGGUGCGGCUGGAUCACCUCCUUUCUAAGGAG